CCUGUUCCACCAAGUUCAUUGACAAGAGGUCAGAUGCCCAUCAGGCUCAAGCGCGCUGUCCAUGAUGAGAUGGGGGAUGGGGAGAAGGGGUGAGAAGGCAAAAUCGGGAAAAACAUCCCUUCCUACAAAACCUUUGUCAAUGGCCACUGGCCACCACAUUCUCAGAAUACCGACUAAGUUUCCUCGUAGCAAAUUUCCAUGCUUGUGUCACCUCACGUGCUCUCACAAUGUUCCCGGUCCCGUGGGAAUAACAGGGAGGCCAACAGCGGCUUUACCUCCCUUUUACACAAAAAGGAAACUGAGGCAGCAAGUGGUUAUCUUUACAAGUUGUCCUCAGCGAUCUGGUCACUUGCGGGACCCCAAAGGAAGCCCGGAUAUGGAGUCUUGGAGAGAAUCCUCCAUCCUCGACUUAACGUGUCAAACUCUGGGGCUGGGGAAGCUAAGUCCCUUCAUCAGGAAGGAAAAACCAGGCUUCCCCAUUUGGACCUUGCGCGGCCGGCCUCGCCCGCCGGCUCCCAGGGGAGAAGGCGCGGGCCCGUGCGGGGCGCGGCCCCACCGCCUCGCACGCCGGGCCCCUCCCGCCGCAGAGGGCGCGCUCGCGCCCGGGCGGGCACCUGUCCCCUCCCCACCUUCGGCGGCUCCGCGGACCAAGCAAGGGUCCGACGCCCCACAGCCACUACCAGCUGGGGACCGCCGGCAGCAGGGCGAGCGCCGCAGGCCCAGUGGGCUGCAGGAAUCCUCCGAAACUUACAGUUUUCCUACAGCGUGCGCGUCACGGCGAGGUGACGUCACGGGCCCCGGCGUUCCGGGAGGUCAGGCCGCAGGGCGCGGACCACUCGGCCCCACGGCUCCGCCCCAGCGCGCCGGCGGGAGGGACGCCCCUUUGCUCAGCGGCCCCGCCCCCGCCGUGGAGCGCUGGGCGCAGGCGCGGAAAGCGCGGCCGCCGCCUGGCGGGCUUCGCAGGCCGGGACGCUUCGGGCGGGGGCUGCUUUGCUGGAGCUUCGUUUAAAGCGUGUGGCGGGGGUUCAAUAGAAGGGGACGAAGACCCCCGGGAACACAGCAAACAGGCUGUCGCCCAGGUGGUCGGAGUGGGACGCCAGAGUUGUGAGAAUCAAGACCAAGGGAAACAAAAUCCCACUUGGCAACCCCCACGCAUCCCUCUCAGCGCCCGGAUCUGGUCUGAAAGAUCUGUUCCCAGGAACUUCCUCAGAGAAGCUUUCCCUAAGCUGUCUUUGCUCUUAGCCUUGGAAUUAUUUUAAUUUCCUCCUUUGCUGGACUAUAAGUUCUGUGAGAGAAGGGACCAUGUUGGCCUCAUUCAACCUCAAAUCCUCUUCUUGUAGCUGAGUCCCCUACCCUCGCUAUGGAUUCUUUGAAGACAGAGAUGGAUUUACUCAACUUUGUGUCCUUAGCACCUAACACAGUUCCUGGCACAUAAAAGGCAUUUGACAAAUUCCUUGACUUCAGUUGAAGAAGGGAUGUCAUCUCCCUGACAGGGUGACAAGAUGGGUACAAUGGAGGAGGCAAAAGUCAUGACUGUUGUCACCAAAACCCUUGGUUAUCCCCAAGGCCCUGAUGGCCUAGGAAAAUAAAGUCACAACUUCUCUGAGCAUUAUCCCAGUUAAAUUGUCUCUGGCUCUAAAGGAAUGUAAUAGAGCCCACUGGCAAUUAAUUCAGCAUGCCUCUUUUCUACUUGACAAAUCGUCAUUUAUUAUUUUACCCUUCGUGUUGGGUUCAGGCAAUUUUUAAUCAAUUAAAGCAGUUAUAUUAAGGCAAUUAAAGCAAAAUUUUAAAAUCUGAUUUUGCAAACUCAGAUCC
rnacentral:lncRNA from 1 species